rnacentral:rRNA from 1 species
AGAGUUUGAUCCUGGCUCAGAUUGAACGCUGGCGGAAUGCUUUACACAUGCAAGUCGAACGGCAGCACGGACUUCGGUCUGGUGGCGAGUGGCGAACGGGUGAGUAAUAUAUCGGAACGUUUCCAAUAAUGGGGGAUAACUAAUCGAAAGGUUGGCUAAUACCGCAUACGCCCUACGGGGGGAAAGCUAGGGACCUUCGGGCCUGGCGUUAAUGGAGCGGCCGAUAUCUGAUUAGCUAGUUGGUGAGGUAAAGGCUCACCAAGGCGACGAUCAGUAGCUGGUCUGAGAGGACGACCAGCCACACUGGAACUGAGACACGGUCCAGACUCCUACGGGAGGCAGCAGUGGGGAAUUUUGGACAAUGGGCGAAAGCCUGAUCCAGCCAUUCCGCGUGAGUGAAGAAGGCCUUCGGGUUGUAAAGCUCUUUCGCAAGGGAAGAAAGAUUACUCUCUAACAUAGAGUAAUUAUGGCGGUACCUUGAUAAGAAGCACCGGCUAACUACGUGCCAGCAGCCGCGGUAAUACGUAGGGUGCGAGCGUUAAUCGGAAUUACUGGGCGUAAAGCGUGCGCAGGCGGUUUUGUAAGUCAGAUGUGAAAUCCCCGAGCUCAACUUGGGAACUGCGUUUGAAACUACAAGACUAGAAUAUGUCAGAGGGGGGUAGAAUUCCACGUGUAGCAGUGAAAUGCGUAGAGAUGUGGAGGAAUACCAAUGGCGAAGGCAGCCCCCUGGGAUAAUAUUGACGCUCAUGCACGAAAGCGUGGGGAGCAAACAGGAUUAGAUACCCCGGUAGUCC